GAUGAACGCUAGCUACAGGCUUAACACAUGCAAGUCGAGGGACCGGCGCACGUGAGAGUAACACGUAUCCAACCUUCCCUUUACUGGAGGAUAGCCGUUCGCAGGAAAGAUUACUACCCAAUGUAAAGGGUGGGGAUGCGUUCCAUUAGGUUGUUGGUGAGGUACCGCCUAACCAAGCCUUCGAUGGUUAGGGGUUCUGAGAGGAAGGUCCCCCACAAUGGAACUGCGACACGGACCAAACUGGUACGGGGGGCAGCAGUGUGUUAUAUUGGUCGAUGGGGGCUAGCCUGAACCUGCCGCGUAGGGGGAAGGAUGAAUGCGUAUGGGUCGUAUUCUUCUUGUAUAUAAGAAUAUGUACUAUAUGAAUAAGGAUCGGCUAACUCCGUGCCAGCAGCCGCGGUAAUUC
rnacentral:rRNA from 1 species